UACAGAGGGUGCAAGCGUUAAUCGGAAUUACUGGGCGUAAAGCGUGCGCAGGCGGUUAUGUAAGACAGAUGUGAAAUGCCCGGGCUUAACCUGGGAACUGCAUUUGUGACUGCAUGGCUAGAGUUUGGCAGAGGGGGGUAGAAUUCCACGUGUAGCAGUGAAAUGCGUAGAUAUGUGGAGGAACACCGAUGGCGAAGGCAGCCCCCUGGGUCAAGACUGACGCUCAUGCACGAAAGCGUGGGGAGCAAACAGG
rnacentral:rRNA from 1 species